rnacentral:rRNA from 1 species
UACGGAGGGUGCGAGCGUUGUCCGGAUUUAUUGGGUUUAAAGGGUGCGUAGGUGGCUAAUUAAGUCAGUGGUGAAAUACAGCCGCUCAACGGUUGAGGUGCGUUUGAUACUGAUUAGCUUGAAACAAGUAGAGGCUGCCGGAAUGGAUGGUGUAGCGGUGAAAUGCAUAGAUAUCAGCCAGAACACCGAUUGCGAAGGCAGGUUGCUACGUUUGAUUUGACACUGAGGCACGAAAGCGUGGGGAGCAAACAGG